rnacentral:rRNA from 1 species
UACCAGCACCCCGAGUGGUCGGGACGAUUAUUGGGCCUAAAGCAUCCGUAGCCGGUCCUACAAGUCUUCCGUUAAAUCCACCUGCUUAACAGAUGGGCUGCGGAAGAUACUAUAGGGCUAGGAGGCGGGAGAGGCAAGCGGUACUCAGUGGGUAGGGGUAAAAUCCUCUGAUCCAUUGAAGACCACCAGUGGCGACGGCGGCUUGCCGGAACGCGCUCGACGGUGAGGGAUGAAAGCUGGGGGAGCAAACCGG